rnacentral:rRNA from 1 species
UACGAAGGGAGCUAGCGUUGUUCGGAAUCACUGGGCGUAAAGCGUGCGCAGGCGGCUUGAUAAGUCAGAGGUGAAAUGCCAAGGCUCAACCUUGGAACUGCCUUUGAAACUAUCUGGCUCGAGUCUCGGAGGGGUUAGGGGAAUUUCCAAUGUAGCGGUGAAAUGCGUAGAUAUCAUGAGGAAUACCAGAGGCGAAGGCGGCUACCUGGACAAUUGCUGACGCUCAGGCACGAAAGCGUGGGGAGCAAACGGG